rnacentral:misc_RNA from 1 species
GAUGAAGAAUGCAGCGAAAUGCGAUAAGUUAUGUGAAUUGCAGAUUUCAGUGAAUCAUCGAAUCUUUGAACGCACCUUGCGCCUUGUGGUAUUCCACAAGGCAUGCCCGUUUGAUUAUCAUUAAAUCAUCAACUCUAAAACCUUUGUGGUUUUUUUAGAGCUUGGUCUUGAGGGUUUUGCAGGCUUUUUUUUUUUUCGAGUCUGCUCCCUUUAAAUGCAUUAGCGAGACUUCCCUAUGCUGAACCGUCUCUUUGACGUGAUAAUUAUCUGCGUCGAAUUUUGGUUCUCGUUGGGCUUGCUUCUAAUCGUCUGUUAAAGACAAAACGGAUUUGGGUGCAUAUAUGCGCCUUUUUCCAAAACCUUUUUUGAUCUCAAAUCGGGUAGGACUACCCGCUGAACUUAAGCAUAUCAAUAAGCGGAGGA